rnacentral:rRNA from 1 species
GUUGAACGCUGGCGGCAGGCCUAACACAUGCAAGUCGAGCGAGCGGCGGACGGGUGAGUAAUGUCUGGGAAACUGCCGGAUGGAGGGGGAUAACUACUGGAAACGGUAGCUAAUACCGCAUACAAGCAGAUUUGCCCAGAGGGGAUUAGCUAGUAGGUGGGGUAACGGCUCACCUAGGCGACGAUCCCUAGCUGGUCUGAGAGGAUGACCAGCCACACUGGAACUGAGACACGGGCCAGACUCCUACGGGAGGCAGCAGUGGGGAAUAUUGCGCAAUGGGCGCAAGCCUGAUGCAGCCAUGCCGCGUGUGUGAAGAAGGCCUUCGGGUUGUAAAGUACUUUCAGCGGGGAGGCGUUACCCGCAGAAGAAGCAACGGCUAACUCCGUGCCAGCAGCCGCGGUAAUUC